rnacentral:rRNA from 1 species
AACGCGAAGAACCUUACCUGGGUUUGAAAUGUAGUGGUAAGCCUCAGAGAUGAGGUCCCCUCUUCGGAGGCCGCUACAUAGGUGCUGCAUGGCUGUCGUCAGCUCGUGUCGUGAGAUGUUGGGUUAAGUCCCGCAACGAGCGCAACCCUUGUCCAUAGUUACUAACGCGUGAUGGCGAGAACUCUAUGGAGACUGCCGGUGAUAAACCGGAGGAAGGUGGGGAUGACGUCAAGUCCUCAUGGCCUUUAUGUCCAGGGCUACACACGUGCUACAAUGGACGGUACAAAGAGUUGCGAUCCCGUGAGGGGGAGCUAAUCUCAAAAAGCCGUUCUCAGUUCGGAUUGCACUCUGCAACUCGAGUGCAUGAAGCUGGAAUCGCUAGUAAUCGCGGAUCAGCACGCCGCGGUGAAUACGUUCCCGGGCCUUGUACACACCGUAGUAC